GUAUAUAUUGCGUGGCAUCUCAAUUUAGAGCGAUCAGUUAAAAUGUUGAAAUAUAUUUACGCAACUUUGAUAUUUUCUGCGAUUUUUCUCGUAGUGGCAAAUGCACAAGCUUUGGUUUGUUCACCGCUAGAUAUGCAGGUGAAAGUUUUUGAAACUGUCUGCGAGCCCAAUUGUGCACCGAGAGUACCGGCAAGAACGUGCUUUAGCCUGUCAAGACCAGCGACGAUCGCUAUGUGUCCGCCACUCUGUUGUCGGGAUAGUAAUGGCGAAUGUGUGGCAACUGUGAGAAUUGGUUAAUUGGGAGCAGUGCUGGAAUUUAUAUUGAGUUGAAUGUGAUGUCAAGAAGAAGAAGAGAGAAUAAAUGUUUUUCUUAACAUAAUGUACUUUUGCAUAAAGUUUUGAGUUCAGUGAGGGUGUCAGGGAAUGAGAAUAGAACGCUAAAGUGUAAGCGAAUUUCCUGAUGCUAAAGUAAUUAUUGUGUUGAAUAAUUUCUUUAGUAACGGCCAAAAACGAUUGGAAAAUCUAAGAGACUACAUAUGUGGGUCCUCUUCUAUCAUCUCACCAUAAACUUACAUAUUUUAAUCGUUAUGUUAUUCUGGUGCCCAUAAGUUGCCAAGGAUCGGUUGAAGAGACUUUUAAAUAUUAAAGGGGAACAAUAACUAAACUUCUAAAGAAUAAGUGAGGUUAUUAAAAGAAAUGCUAAAUCUAAAUGGUUCUAAGUGAUAACUUUAAUAACUGGGGAGCAUCAUUCGAGAAGAAUUUUGUAUAAAACAGUAACCGAUCAAAUUUUACCCAGACUGAUCAUUUUACACUACGCGCACAAACGGAAUCGAUAAUUUGUUUUUCUUAUAUUGGUACUAACUUUUUUAUGGUCGUUUCAUAUUCUUAUGUCAAUUACAAUGUGUUUGGCUCAAAAAAUUUGUGUGUAUAUUUUUCCACGAAAAAACUGAACAACGAGUUUGCUUGAAAUUUUGUGUCCAAUGGAAUCACUAUUGUACGAAAUUUCAUAGAAGGACCAGUAUCUUUUAUAAAAACGUCAUCUUUAGAGAUAACAAAUUAGGUGCUUGACAACGUAGCUGAGAAUCCCACAUUCAACAAAUGCCUCAUUACUGUUCACGAGGUAUGGGUUUAUGAUUAAAAAAGUCUAAGCUGUUCAACAACGUUCCAAAAACGAGCGAAAAGCAAAAAUUACAAAAAUAUGUCAAGUGCCAAAAGCCCACCUCAGCCGAGGCUUACAAAAAGUGUACGCAAAUUGGAUUAAUCUUUGGCAUGCUUCUAUUAUAUUAGAUCAGAAGCCAAUUUUGAAGGUGAAUGAUAAAUAUAUGGAUUAAUCACAAUAAUAAAUGAAUGGUGAAGGAACAAUCACAUCAGCCAAUUUAUAAAUAAAUGGUACCAAAAGCUAAAACAAGCAGAAGAAAAUUCAGGCAAGCUCUCAGCCACAGCUGUUUUGGAUGCGAAAAUGCCUUUCAGGUUGAUUACUACGGGCAGAGUUAUACAAAAGCUGAAUAAUUUCAUACGGUAGAAAAGACUUUGACUUUUAUUCUUUUUAUUGACAAAUUACUUCCGCUUCAUUUCACGUAUAAAAAGCGAGUAAGCCAAUCUACAAUAUUUCAGUACAAAAUAUUGCGGCUUGACCACCACACUUGAAAAUAAUGAAACUUUUCUGCGAAACUAUCAUUUUGUUAGUUUUAAGUCUGGCUUUAAUUCAAGCACAAAGAACUCCAAAUUGUCAACUUCAACGAACAUUUUUUUUAAAGAAGGGUCAUCGCGUCUGUAUACCCUAUUGCCCACCAAAAGGAACCACUUGUAUAACGGCUGAUCGUCCCAUGCAAAUACAAUCUUGCACCGCUGGAUGUUGCCGCUCGGGCAAUAGAUGCAUUCCCGUCAGGAGGGGUUAGUGAUCGGGAUUAACGAAAAUGCAGAAGUGCAUAUACAGAUGUAUACGUAAAAGUGUAAAAUGUCUUUAAAGGAUGCAAUAAAUAUUUCCUUAAAUAAAUAAAUAAAUUGCUGAAUAU
rnacentral:lncRNA from 1 species